rnacentral:rRNA from 1 species
UGCCGGACCCCACUGCUAUCGAGGUGGGACUUAGCCAUGCUAGUCGAACGAACAGAACUAUGUCUGUAAGUGGCAUACUGCUCAGUAACACGUAGCUAACCUACCCUUAGGACGUCGAUAACCCCGAGAAAUUGGGGCUAAUAGGCGAUAGAUGUAUUGUCCUGGAAUGGUAAUACGUCCAAAGGUAUCCCAUACAUGUUUGGUAUACGCCUAAGGAUGGGGCUGCGGCCGAUCAGGCUGUUGGUGAGGUAAUGGCUCACCAAACCUUUGACCGGUACGGGCCAUGAGAGUGGUAGCCCAGAGAUGGACACUGAGACAAGGGUCCAGGCCCUACGGGGCGCAGCAGGCGCGAAACCUCCUCAAUGCACUAACGUGCGAAGGGGUUACCUCGAGUGCCACCUGAAGAAGGUGGCUUUUCCUUGGUCUAAAAAGCCUAGGGAAUAAGAGGGGGGCAAGACUGGUGUCAGCCGCCGCGGUAACACCAGCCCCUCGAGUGGUGGGGAUGAUUAUUUGGCCUAAAGCGUCCGUAGCCGGCCGGGUAAGUUUCCCGUUAAAUCCAGCGUCUCAAGCGUUGGACUGCGGGAAAUACUGCCUGGCUAGAGAGUGGGAGAGGUCAGCGGUAUUCUGGGGGUAGGGGCGAAAUCCUUUGAUCCCCGGAGGACCACCAGUGGCGAAGGCUGCUGACUAGAACACGUCUGACGGUCAGGGACGAAAGCUGGGGUAGCGAACCGGAUUAGAUACCCGGGUAGUCCCAGCCGUAAACGAUGCAUGCUAGGUGUUGGGUUGGCCACGAGCCACCCCAGU